UAGGGAAUUUUGCGCAAUGGACGAAAGUCUGACGCAGCAAUACCGUGUGAGGGAUGAAGCAUUUCGGUGUGUAAACCUCUGUCGUCGGUGAAUAAAGGCGUGGAGAGUGGAAAGCUCUGCGUUUGAAUGUAGCCGAGAAGGAAGCACCGGCUAACUCUGUGCCAGCAGCCGCGGUAAUACAGGGGGUGCAAGCGUUGUUCGGAAUCACUGGGCGUAAAGGGAGCGUAGGCGGAAUUGCAAGACAGAGGUUAAAUGUCCGGGCUCAACCUGGAACCUGCCUUUGUGACUGCAGUUCUUGAGUAUGGCAGAGGCUAGUGGAAUUACCUGUGUAGCGGUGGAAUGCGUAGAUAUAGGUAAGAACACCAGAGGCGAAGGCGACUAGCUGGGCCAAUACUGACGC
rnacentral:rRNA from 1 species